CAUAAUUGCCAGCCAAGUAAACUGAGCAGAACGGAACGGAACGGAACGAAACGAAAGGAGCGCCGGAUGCCAGCGGAAAGUUAAAGGAAACGCAGCCCAGAUACGGAACACAAGCGGUUUGGCACAUAAGAAGAUAUACACGGGAUACAAGGAGGCAGAGGCAGAGGACGGGACUCGGGAGUCAGGACGAUGCUGCCAGAAUAACGACGUUGCCUAGCACAUAUGCCAAAUGGGGGGAAGGGGAAGGAGCAAGGAUGGAGCCGGAAUAAAACAAAAGAGAGAAGAUGCAAAUCGGUCGCCUGGAUGUCUGCCAGCUCCACGCCGUAGAUCUCUCUUUAAAAGUGUCUCGAAAGUGGUGCAAUAAAACGAGGUGAGCCGUUGAAGUUCAGACAGACAUCAGGAGCCAGCCAGGAGCUCCACCGACAGAGCAUCGAAAUGGAUAUUCAUUCGUAAUUAUGAGCCAAUGGACAACGGAAUUGUGCAAAUUUGAGAUGAGAGUUGAGAGAGAAUGGUUAGCAAAAUGCCAGAGCAAAUUAUUCGUGAUGUGACAACAUGAUUCCAAUGAAAUAACUCAAAGGAAGUGACGGCAAAUAACAAACGAAUUUUUGUAUUACCUACGAUAAAUGGAUUUAUUUUUGGAUAUACGAGAUGAAGAAAACUGUGGAGCUACUUGGCCAACCCAUGCCAGCGGCGACCCGGACGGCGUUGAUUCGUGGGAAGUUCCGCUCUAUACUACUUUCCGGGAAGUAGUCCCUCACAUGGAGAGCUUUGAAAGCCCUCUAAGAAUUCCACUACUUUCAUAGUCAUGUUUAUAAGUUUAGUCAAACAAGUUCCUGCUAUUGACAUUGGUAACUAUUCAACUAUUCUAAUAUUUUCGUUAUCGUGUUUAUAGUUUGUGCCCCUCGGCGGUGAUGCUAAACUCUGGCAUAUUGUUAUUUCCGUAAUUAGGUUGCAGUCUGCUUUCUCUCUAUACUAUCAAUGCAAAAUUGUUCCCCUGAAUUUCAAUAUAAAUAAUUGAUAAUAUCAGGUACCAUGGGCAGAUAUGUCAGGUCUAUGUAUGUACGUACCUCAGGGUAUUUCAGGAAUAACUUUAAACAGCACAUUUGAAGUUUUCAGUGCACCAUGUCACUCCACUAAUGUCAGCCCUAAGGUUCAAACGAUCGAGGACAUUCUGACGAUUUAGAGAAGCUGUGGCCUGCCCAGAUAGAACAAGAACAAUAACGGAGGAAAGUCCACAAAUAGCGGUUCUUGAUAAUGACUCCAUGGUGAAUGUUCCCCUGAUCACAGGAAGCCAUAUCACUCCCAAAUCGGGCCACAAAUACCGGAGACAUCAGCAUACAACAUAUGUACAUAUGUAUACUCGGAUGUCAGAGUCCUUAUCCAAGGAUCAAGAAUAUCAACAACGCCGCCGAAUCAAGGGCUGGGCUUCAGCUUCGAAACACAGGACUUAAGUACCUUACGCUUUGGCAUAAAGAGAGAGUAGUAUCCGAUUGCCCCUAGACGGAGUCCUAUCCCAGCCAGACCGAUUCGUAUCCCAGCCAGACCGAAUCGUAUCCCAGCUGGACAGAAGCGCACCCCCUUCAAGAGCGCGAAACUAACAAGCCGCCAUCAUCCUUCGACCUGGCCAUCGACAACUAUCUCAAGGACUUCGGCUAUGGCAACCAAGGCAGGGGCUACGCGGACUACUAGACUAUAGAUAGACCUUGUUGUUGUUAGGUUUAAGUAUAUAUACGUCUAUGCGUUUAGAUAAUAGAUGUAAAUGGAGUCCACUUAAGAUGUAAUUAUUUAUACUAAGUUAGGUUAUAAUGAAUAAAAGUAUGAAAACCCA